rnacentral:rRNA from 1 species
GAUUUCUGGCUUGAAACAUUUUGCCGGCCACGGUUUCGUGUGUUAGUGCUUGAUGUUCUGGCCAUCCUUCCAAUCGCUAUUGGCCUUUCUUCACUGAUUGGUCAGUAGUAUUGGAUCUUUUACUUUGAAAAAAUUAGAGUGUUUCAAGCAGGCUUUAUGCUAUGAAUACAUUAGCAUGGAAUAAUAAUUUAGGACUUCGGUUCUAUUUUGUUGGUUUCUAGGACUGAAGUAAUGAUUGAUAGGGAUAGUUGGGGGUGCUAGUAUUCAGCGGCCAGAGGUGAAAUUCUUGGAUUCGCUGAAGACUAACUUAUGCGAAAGCAUU